rnacentral:rRNA from 1 species
GACGAACGCUGGCGGCGUGCCUAAUACAUGCAAGUAGAACGCUGAAGGAGGAGCUUGCUUCUCUGGAUGAGUUGCGAACGGGUGAGUAACGCGUAGGUAACCUGCCUGGUAGCGGGGGAUAACUAUUGGAAACGAUAGCUAAUACCGCAUAAGAGUAGAUGUUGCAUGACAUUUGCUUAAAAGGUGCAAUUGCAUCACUACCAGAUGGACCUGCGUUGUAUUAGCUAGUUGGUGGGGUAACGGCUCACCAAGGCGACGAUACAUAGCCGACCUGAGAGGGUGAUCGGCAACACUGGGACGGAGACACGGCCCAGACUCCUACGGGAGGAAGCAGUAGGGAAUCUUCGGCAAUGGACGGAAGGCUGACCGAGCAACGCCGCGUGAGUGAAGAAGGUUUUCGGAUCGUAAAGCUCUGUUGUAAGAGAAGAACGAGUGUGAGAGUGGAAAGUUCACACUGUGACGGUAUCUUACCAGAAAGGGACGGCUAACUACGUG